rnacentral:rRNA from 1 species
AUUGAACGCUGGCGGCAUGCUUUACACAUGCAAGUCGAACGGCAGCGCGGGCUUCGGCCUGGCGGCGAGUGGCGAACGGGUGAGUAAUACAUCGGAACGUGCCCAGUAGUGGAGGAUAGCUCGGCGAAAGCCGGAUUAAUACCGCAUACGACCUGAGGGUGAAAGCGGGGGAUCUUCGGACCUCGCGCUAUUGGAGCGGCCGAUGGCAGAUUAGCUAGUUGGUGGGGUAAAGGCCUACCAAGGCGACGAUCUGUAGCUGGUCUGAGAGGACGACCAGCCACACUGGGACUGAGACACGGCCCAGACUCCUACGGGAGGCAGCAGUGGGGAAUUUUGGACAAUGGGCGAAAGCCUGAUCCAGCAAUGCCGCGUGUGUGAUGAAGGCCUUCGGGUUGUAAAGCACUUUUGGCGGGAACGAAAAGGACUGUGCCAAUACCACGGUUCGAUGACGGUACCCGCAGAAUAAGCACCGGCUAACUACGUG